CUCCUCCAUUGCUCCUCCUCUGCUCCUCCUCUGCUCCUCCUGUUGCUCCUCUUUUCUCCUCCUGCUCCUCCACUCCUCCUCCUGCUCCCCCUGCUGUUCCUCCACUGCUCCUCCGCUGCUCCCACUGCUGCUCCUCCGCUGCUCCUCCUGCUGCUCUUCUGCUGCUCCUCUUGCUGCUCCUCUGCUGCUCCUCCGCUGCUCCUCCUCUGCUCCUUCUGUUGCUCCUCUGCUGCUCCUCCGCUGCUCCUCUUCUGCUCCUCCUGUUGCUCCUCUGCUACUCCUCCUGCUGCUCCUCCUGCUGCUCCUCCGCUGCUCCUCCUGCUGCUCCUCCGCUGCUCCUCCUCUGCUCCUCCUGUUGCUCCUCUGCUCUCCUCCUGCUCCUCCACUCCUCCUCCUGCUCCUCCUGCUGCUCCUCCACUGCUCCUCCUGGUGCUCCUCCUGCUGCUCCUCCACUGCUCCCACUGCUGCUCCUCCGCUGCUCCUCCUGCUGCUCUUCUGCUGCUCCUCUUGCUGCUCCUCUGCUGCUCCUCCGCUGCUUCUCCUCUGCUCCUUCUGUUGCUCCUCUGCUGCUCCUCCGCUGCUCCUCUUCUGCUCCUCCUGUUGCUCCUCUGCUACUCCUCCUGCUGCUUCUCCUGCUGCUCCUCCUGCUGCUCCUCCGCUGCUCCUCCUGUUGUUCCUCUGCUGCUCUUCCUGCUGCUCCUCCGCUGCUCCUCCUCUGCUCCUCCUGUUGCUCCUCUGCUCUCCUCCUGCUCCUCCACUCCUCCUCCUGCUCCUCCUGCUGCUCCUCCACUGCUCCUCCUGCUGCUCCUCCGUUGCUCCCACUGCUGCUCCUCCGCUGCUCCUCCUGCUGCUCUUCUGCUGCUCCUCUUGCUGCUCCUCUGCUGCUCCUCCUGUUGCUCCUCCUGCUGCUCCUCCGCUGCUCCUCCUCUGCUCCUCCUGUUGCUCCUCCUCUGCUCCUCCUGCUGCUCCUCCGCUGCUCCUCCUCUGCUCCUCCUCUGCUCCUCCUGUUGCUCCUCCGCUGCUCCUCUGCUCCCGCUGCUGCUCCUCCGCUGCUCCUCCUGCUGCUCCUCCACUCCUCCUGCUGCUCCUGUUGCUCCUCUGCUGUUCCUCCUGCUGCUCCUCCUGCUGCUCCUCCUCUGCUCCUCCUGUUGCUCCUCUUCUGCUUCUCCUGCUGCUCCUCCUGCUGCUCCUCCUCCUGCUCCUCCUGUUGCUCCUCUGCUGCUCCUCCGCUGCUCCUCCUCUGCUCCUCCUGUUGCUCCUCCGCUGCUCCUCCUCUGCUCCCGCUGCUGCUCCUCCUGCUGCUCCCCCUGCUCUUCUGCUGCUCCUCUAUCCCAGUGUCACCAAGGCACCCCAUGCCCUUGUCACCCGUGUGCAGCUAGCAGCCAGCCUCUCCUGAGGCCUGUGGGCCACUGUGUGGGAGGGGAGACUGAGGCUGACGGGCACUGUGGAGGGAAGGCAGGGCCUGCAGUAUCAGGGGAAGAUUUGACUGUGGACCUGGACCACAGGGUAGGGUGUGCUCGGUGGAAGGAACAGCAUGCAUGGUGGGUGCUGAGGGAGGCCCAGAGACUCAACAUGUGA
rnacentral:lncRNA from 12 species